rnacentral:lncRNA from 1 species
CUAAGGGGGAGGGGAGAUGGGCGAAGCAAGCUGCAGGGUCUGAAGGGGAGUGAAUUUGUGCUGCUGCCCUCUGGGAUGCUCUUGAUGUCUCCUACCCUGAACUCCAGAGAUGGUCUUGUAAGUAAGCAGACCAGGAAGCUGCAGGCUGUAGAGGAGUUAUGACACACUAGAUGACAGAACCCUCCACACUGUUCUCGGGACAGCAUUUCAUCCUUACCGCUAGGAGCCAAAUGUCUAGAGGUCCUGCUUCAUGGUUCAUAUGUGACAGGAGUGCUCAGCUGAGUUUUUGAAUGCCUGUGGUAUCAUCUUAGCAGUGGACCUGGUCCAGCAACAAUUUGCAUUGUUGACCAAAUUUUGAUGUAAUUAUUUUCAAUAAAGUAUAGUUCAAA